UUGACUGAUUUUUGUCACUUUCGUUUUUAGGGAGUAGGAACACUAGAUUCGUAGACUGUCGGGCCGCAUCAUCGCCGAUAUGUGGCCUCACCCGUGAUAUAAUCCCUUGCUUGGGUUGGGUGAACGGUGAAAAAGCGGGAGCGGCCGAUCGGGAGCUGCUGGGAGCUAGUUGGGAGCCAAGGCGUCGUCGUAGGUUGCCGUCUCGCUGCCGCCCGCCGGCCACAGUUGCUGCGGUGCCGUCGGCCAUAUCUGACGGCUGACCCCUUACCGGCAGUUAUCCUCGUCCCUCACGCUUCCAUUCCUGCGCCUCUCGAAUCUCGAUGGAGGGCCGCCUCUUCGAUAAGCCCUUGAACCCGAAUAAGCUCCUCAAGGAGCAAUUCGUGAGCAACCUGACGGGGUCUUCCCUGCUGGAGAUCGCGGCGCUCUCCACUGUCGUUCCGGCAUUGGUAGUUCUCAGAAAGUGGAGCAGCAGAGAUAAUUCUAGGAAGGAGUCAGCAAAGAAAAAUGAUGAUCAAGUUCAUACUGUUCGUAAAGAUUGGAUGCAGUACUUCUCUACACUAGGUGUAGAUUAUCUCACUGUUGUAUUGCCAAUUAUUUUGGUUUUCACAGUCUUAUCGGAAUGGGUUUUUAUGUGUGCUAUUUCUCUUGUAAUCCUGAUAUCCAUUUACAUCAUGUUUAAAAGGUCUCAGUUUCAUCUUAAAGAUGGAUUCAGUCAGCUGCCUUUGCUCAGGGCAGACAUAUCUUCUUACCGUGUCUCAGUGGUUCUGGUGACAUGUUUGUGCAUAUUAGCUGUGGACUUCAAAAUAUUUCCAAGACGCUAUGCUAAGGCUGAAACAUAUGGUAGUGGCAUCAUGGAUCUUGGAGUAGGAUCUUUUGUAGUGGCUAAUGCACUGGUAUCUAGACAAGCACGAAAUAUAGCCUCAAUGAGUUUCAAGGCAGUUCUUUGUUCGAUAAGUCCACUCUUAUCUCUUGGCUUUGCUCGCAUUAUAUCCACAUGGGGUGUUGAUUAUCAGGUCCAUGUAGGAGAAUAUGGUGUGCAUUGGAACUUCUUUUUCACCCUCGCAGCUGUCUCUAUCCUUACAUCCGUUGUCAGAAUUCAUCCAAAACAUUGUGGCUUAGUUGGUCUGCUUAUCCUUGCUGGAUACCAGAUUUGGCUGUCUUCUGGAUUGAAUGAGUACCUCAUUUCUCACAAAAGAAGUGCUGAUAUAAUCACCCAGAAUAAGGAGGGCAUUUAUAGCAUCCUUGGAUACUGGGGUAUGUUUCUAAUUGGUGUUUCUUUGGGUUUCUAUCUGUUCGUUGACACUAGUUCAAAGGGCAAGAACCGGAACACUCAAGUCAUGCAAAUCUGGGUUCUUGCUGCUUCUUUUUGGAUUUUGGCAAUCAUCUUUGAUAGCUACAUUGAGAGAGUUUCUCGUCGAAUGUGCAACUUCGCUUAUGUUAUGCUUGUUUUUGGCCAGAAUUUUCAGAGGACAUAUAUUGGACUUCUCUUUAACAAUAUGAACUUUAUCUGACAGUGCCUACAAAUUAACCUAUAAUGAGGCCAAAGAAAGGCAAGGUGUUAGGUGCAUAUUAUUAGAUGCAUUCUUAUAUGCUUUAAAUAUUUUGUAAUCUUUCAGUCAGUAUGUCGUACAUGUUUCCACUUGAUAUAAUGUGCACAGAAUGGUUCAAAAUUCCACUAUUGAUUGCUUUGCCUGCUAAUGUUACUGUUUUAUGAUUUGGGAGCAACUUUGCCAUAUUAUCAGACCCAUGGAUAGUAGCAAGGGGGUUUGCAAAGCCAUGAAAUUUACUACUUACCCAAGUUUUAUCUAUCCUCACAUUAGCUGGGUUUGCCUCAUAUAAAAAGAACUUGGUUCUUGAAGAUGCAUUCAAUGAAAAUAUGCUUGGCUCCUUCCUUCUGGCAAAUAUCCUUACUGGUCUGGUUAAUCUCUCAGUUAACACGCUCUCUGCCUCUUCCUUCACUGCCUUCAUGAUUCUGUCAGUAUACGCCUUUACUUUAUGCAUGGUUACUGGCCUUACCCAUUUUUGUGGUGUUAGGAUGAAAUUCUGGUGAAUUGUAAGCUACCAUUUGAUAUGAUGUAUUCAUUCAUUAACUUGUCAACAAACUGGUAGCUAGCUUGCUUGAAAUAUAAUACUACGUCUGUUCUUGAAUA